AGUGCAUUCCUAGCUCCCCUUGCACUAAGGCAGGCUGAGGCAGAGGGGAAGACAUUUUAGUCUUGUGCUCUUCUAGUUGCUAAAGCGCUGGGCUGCCGGGCUGUGGGAGUCAUGAGGCGGCCCUGCUUCACUCGAUAUGGGCUCAUGGGGAGAGAACCAUGGAUGUGCAGGUCUAGGCCCUUAGAGCAGUGAGUGGGAAAGGGGUAGCGAGCAAAACACCAGCGUUCAGCGAGCAGCUUGAACGGUGGCACGCUGAAGUAAGAGCACUGGCUUUUGGAAAAACCUGCGGACUACCGGGCGAGCAAAGAGAGAGAGACAGCCUACCGCUGUGUCGGUCGAGCAGAGAGCGGGAUCUCCGGCGGCUGAAGAGUGGUUCUUGAAUCGGCCAGAUACUGUUCCAUCCUCUUUUCUGCCAAUCAAGCAAAGAUGAGGACAACACCCAAACUGGCACGAUAACAGCGCCGUAUAAGAAGAGGACCCAAUUGUUCCAAAAGGCCUUGAUUUUGCUCCGCCGCGGUCCGCGCGGAGGCUGCGGCAGCUGUGGACAGCAACAGGUGAGAAAAGGUGAGAGGAACCUGCUGACAUCCAUAUGACCAAGACGAGACCUGUCUGUCCAGGAGACAGAGACCACACCAGAUAUGGUGUCCUUCUGAUGUUCUUGAUGCACGUCCAAGGGUACUCGUCCGUUGAUGGGUGAUGGAGAUGAGGUUCCUUCUGCUAUAACCCUGGCCUCCAAGAACAGCUUCAAAGACAGGACCUAAGGAGAGAUCAGUCACGCAAAACACAUCUACACACCACUGCUUCUGCUGCAAAUGUGAGGGCAUGAUCUGUCUCUGUGAAGACAAAACAAUAUGUACCCUGUGAAAUUCUCAGAACAUGGUUAAUUUUGAAACUGUUACAACUGAAACAACGAAACUUUUUACCAAUAGAGGUUAUGCUGCUUAUGAUAUGAACUGUAUCGUCCAUUGAUAUAUUGGAUUUCAUGAUGUUACAUAUCUUCAAUCUGUGAUCAUAUUAAAUCAAUGAAAUCAUGG